AACGCGAAGAACCUUACCUAGGCUUGACAUGUACCGAAGUCCUUAGAAAUUUGGAUGUGCUCGCAAGAGAGCGGUAACACAGGUGCUGCAUGGCUGUCGUCAGCUCGUGUCGUGAGAUGUUGGGUUAAGUCCCGCAACGAGCGCAACCCUUGUCGUUAGUUGCCAGCAUUUAGUUGGGAACUCUAACGAGACUGCCGUGGUUAACACGGAGGAAGGUGGGGAUGACGUCAAGUCCUCAUGGCCUUUAUGCUUAGGGCUACACACGUGCUACAAUGCAUUCUACAAAGGGCUGCCAACCCGCAAGGGGGAGCCAAUCCCAUAAAAGAAUGCUAAGUUCAGAUUGGGGUCUGCAACUCGACCCCAUGAAGCUGGAAUCGCUAGUAAUCGCGGAUCAGCACGCCGCGGUGAAUACGUUCCCGGGCCUUGUACACACCGUAGUAC
rnacentral:rRNA from 1 species